AUUGAACGCUGGCGGCAGGCCUAACACAUGCAAGUCGAGCGAGCGGCGGACGGGUGAGUAAUGUCUGGGAAACUGCCUGAUGGAGGGGGAUAACUACUGGACACGGUAGCUAAUACCGCAUACCAUCAGAUGUGCCCAGGUGGGAUUAGCUAGUAGGUGGGGUAACGGCUCACCUAGGCGACGAUCCCUAGCUGGUCUGAGAGGAUGACCAGCCACACUGGAACUGAGACACGGUCCAGACUCCUACGGGAGGCAGCAGUGGUGAAUAUUGCACAAUGGGCGAAAGCCUGAUGCAGCCAUGCCGCGUGUGUGAAGAAGGCCUGCGGGUUGUAAAGCACGUUCAGCGGGGAGGCGUUACCCGCAGAAGAAGCACCGGCUAACUCCGUGCCAGCCGCCGCGGUAAUAC
rnacentral:rRNA from 1 species